rnacentral:rRNA from 1 species
AUUCCAGCUCCAAUAGCGUAUAUUAAAGUUGUUGCAGUUAAAACGCUCGUAGUCGGAUUUCGGGGCGGGCCGACCGGUCUGCCGAUGGGUAUGCACUGGCCGGCGCGUCCUUCCACCCGGAGACCGCGCCUACUCUUAACUGAGCGGGCGCGGGAGACGGGUCUUUUACUUUGAAAAAAUCAGAGUGUUUCAAGCAGGCAGUCGCUCUUGCAUGGAUUAGCAUGGGAUAAUGAAAUAGGACUCUGGUGCUAUUUUGUUGGUUUCGAACACCGGAGUAAUGAUUAACAGGGACAGUUGGGGGCAUUAGUAUUUAAUUGUCAGAGGUGAAAUUCUUGGAUUUAUUAAAGACUAACUUAUGCGGAAGCAUUUGCCAAGGAUGUUUUCAUUA